rnacentral:rRNA from 1 species
UACGUAGGGGGCAAGCGUUGUCCGGAAUCAUUGGGCGUAAAGCGCGUGUAGGCGGCCUGGUAAGUCCGUUCUGAAAGCCCGGGGCUCAACCCCGGGAGGCGGAUGGAUACUGCAAGGCUCGAGUACGGAAGAGGCGAGUGGAAUUCCUAGUGUAGAGGUGAAAUUCGUAGAUAUUAGGAAGAACACCAGUGGCGAAGGCGGCUCACUGGGCCGGUACUGACGCUGAGGAGCGAAAGCGUGGGUAGCAAACAGG